AGAACAUUUCCACCACCAGGUUCUUGAUGGAAAGGGCUUUCCCAGCUGUCAGCUCCAUAGUCGACAGAUGAGCAGAUCGCUCAGAGCAUUAGACCACAGGCUCCCUCGAUGCUGCAGCAGGCCAAUGGUGUGAGAUCCAAGAACACCUGGAAGACAAAGGGAUUUAAGGAAGAUGUUUAAUUUACUGUAUAACUGCUAUUAUUUUUCAAGGUCUGACUUUGGCGUCCCAAUAAAGAAAUGAAGGACAACUUCACUUGGAAUCCAAGAAUCCUCCUAGAAAAAAAGAAAUGAUCAUGACAUCUGCAACUGGCAGAGCAUUUACAAAAUGGAGCUGGCCAUAUGGAAUUACGUCAAGGAAUCACAGCAGGCUCCAUUGCUAGGAUAUUAAGACUGUUUUUCCAAUGUACUUCUAUAAUUCUUGUGUAAGCCAUUUCCAGGUGUGCACUUCCAUUUCCAAUUUAAUUUUAUCUUUUAUUCCAAAUGUUUCUCAUACAUAUGAUACUAUUAAUUUGCAACUAGCUGAAUUUUCCAGUCCCAGCCCAGUGAUAGACUUGUGAACUCUCAUUUGAACACCUAGGAUUUCACAGCAGCCUCAGAGCCUCUUGAAAUCGUGCCGCACCCUGCCAAACUUUGAGAAAAUUCUAACCCACAAUCCAGGUAUAGAGCUUAACUCACUCAAACAUUUUCUACUAUUUUCAUUAAGUACCUUCACAUUUUAGGGCCACAUUCAAUUAGCAUUAGAAUGUUUUCCCCUUACUAUUCCUGGAAGCCUUUGAAUUUAAUAGGGCAGAGUUUGACAAUAGAAUGCUAAGUU